AGCCUGAUGCAGCGACGCCGCGUGAGGGAUGACGGCCUUCGGGUUGUAAACCUCUUUCAGCACAGACGAAGCGCGAGUGACGGUAUGUGCAGAAGAAGGACCGGCCAACUACGUGCCAGCAGCCGCGGUAAUACGUAGGGUCCGAGCGUUGUCCGGAAUUACUGGGCGUAAAGAGCUCGUAGGUGGUUUGUCGCGUUGUUCGUGAAAACUCACAGCUUAACUGUGGGCGUGCGGGCGAUACGGGCAGACUUGAGUACUGCAGGGGAGACUGGAAUUCCUGGUGUAGCGGUGGAAUGCGCAGAUAUCAGGAGGAACACCGGUGGCGAAGGCGGGUCUCUGGGCAGUAACUGACGCUGAGGAGCGAAAGCGUGGGGAGCGAACAGGAUUAGAUACCCUGGUAGUCCACGCCGUAAACGGUGGGUACUAGGUGUGGGUUUCCUUCCUUGGGAUCCGUGCCGUAGCUAACGCAUUAAGUACCCCGCCUGGGGAGUACGGCCGCAAGGCUAAAACUCAAAGAAAUUGACGGGGGCCCGCACAAGCGGCGGAGCAUGUGGAUUAAUUCGAUGCAACGCGAAGAACCUUACCUGGGUUUGACAUGCACAGGACGCCAGUAGAGAUAUUGGUUCCCUUGUG
rnacentral:rRNA from 1 species